AGCAGCCGCGGUAAUUCCAGCUCCAAUAGCGUAUAUUAAAGUUGUUGCAGUUAAAAAGCUCGUAGUUGAAUUUCGAGAUCGGCUUACUGGUCGUGCUUUUGUACGUACUGGUAUAAUCGGUUUCUCCUUUCUGACGAACUAUAAUGCCAUUAAUUUGGUGUUAUAGGGAAUCAGGACUGUUACUUUGAAAAAAUUAGAGUGUUUAAAGCAGGCUCACGCUUGAAUACAUUAGCAUGGAAUAACGGAAUAGGACGUUUGAUUCUAUUUUGUUGGUUUCUAGGAUCGACGUAAUGAUUAAUAGGGAUAGUUGGGGGCAUUAGUAUUCAAUUGUCAGAGGUGAAAUUCUUGGAUUUAUUGAAGGCUAACUACUGCGAAAGCAUUUGCCAAGGAUGUUUUCAUUAAUCAAGAACGAAAGUUAGGGGAUCGAAGACGAUCAGAUACCGUCGUAGUCUUAACCAUAAACUAUGCCGACUAGGGAUCGGAUGAUGUAAUUUUUAAUGACUCAUUCGGCGCCUUACGG
rnacentral:rRNA from 1 species